rnacentral:rRNA from 1 species
CCUACGGGAGGCUGCAGUGGGGAAUAUUAGACAAUGGGCGAAAGCCUGAUCCAGCCAUGCCGCGUGUGUGAAGAAGGCCUUCGGGUUGUAAAGCACUUUCAGUGGGGAAGAAAGCCUUGGGGCUAAUACCCUCGAGGAAGGACAUCACCCACAGAAGAAGCACCGGCUAACUCCGUGCCAGCAGCCGCGGUAAUACGGAGGGUGCGAGCGUUAAUCGGAAUUACUGGGCGUAAAGCGCGCGUAGGCGGUCUGAUAAGCCGGUUGUGAAAGCCCCGGGCUCAACCUGGGAACGGCAUCCGGAACUGUCAGGCUAGAGUGCAGGAGAGGAAGGUAGAAUUCCCGGUGUAGCGGUGAAAUGCGUAGAGAUCGGGAGGAAUACCAGUGGCGAAGGCGGCCUUCUGGACUGACACUGACGCUGAGGUGCGAAAGCGUGGGUAGCAAACAGGAUUAGAUACCCCAGUAGUC